UCAACUGAGAGUUUGAUCCUGGCUCAGGACGAACGCUGGCGGCGUGCUUAACACAUGCAAGUUGAACGACGGUCUUAAGAAGUAGCAAUACGGAAGAAGAUACGGAGUAGCGGACGGGU
rnacentral:rRNA from 1 species